rnacentral:rRNA from 1 species
GACGAACGCUGGCGGCGUGCUUAACACAUGCAAGUCGAACGGAAAGGCCCUGCUUUUGUGGGGUGCUCGAGUGGCGAACGGGUGAGUAACACGUGAGUAACCUGCCCUUGACUUUGGGAUAACUUCAGGAGACUGGGGCUAAUACCGGAUAGGAGCUCCUGCUGCAUGGUGGGGGUUGGAAAGUUUCGGCGGUUGGGGAUGGACUCGCGGCUUAUCAGCUUGUUGGUGGGGUAGUGGCUUACCAAGGCGUUGACGGGUAGCCGGCCUGAGAGGGUGACCGGCCACAGUGGAAGGGAGAAACGGUCAAGAAUCCGAAGGGAGGCAGAGGUGGGGAAGAGGGGAGAAUGGGGGGAAGGCGGAUCCAGCCAUAGCGCGUGGGUGGAGAAGGCCGUCGGGUUGGAAAGGCGGUGGGUUGGGAAAGAAAAGCAGCAGGUGAAUACCCCGCUGUUCUGACGGUACCCAAAGAAUAAGCACCGGCUAACUUCGUG